UCCAGCCAUGCCGCGUGUGUGAAGAAGGCCUUCGGGUCGUAAAGCACUUUCAGCGAGGAAGAAUGCCUUGGGAUUAAUACUCCCGAGGAAAGACAUCACUCGCAGAAGAAGCACCGGCUAACUCCGUGCCAGCAGCCGCGGUAAUACGGAGGGUGCAAGCGUUAAUCGGAAUUACUGGGCGUAAAGCGCGCGUAGGUGGCUAAGUCAGCCAGGUGUGAAAGCCCCGGGCUCAACCUGGGAACGGCAUCUGGAACUGCUUGGCUAGAGUGCAGGAGAGGAAGGUAGAAUUCCCGGUGUAGCGGUGAAAUGCGUAGAGAUCGGGAGGAAUACCAGUGGCGAAGGCGGCCUUCUGGACUGACACUGACACUGAGGUGCGAAAGCGUGGGUAGCAAACAGGAUUAGAUACCCUGGUAGUCCACGCCGUAAACGAUGUCAACUAGCCGUUGGGUCCCUUGAGGACUUAGUGGCGCABUAACGCAAUAAGUUGACCGCCUGGGGAGUACGGCCGCAAGGUUAAAACUCAAAUGAAUUGACGGGGGCCCGCACAAGCGGUGGAGCAUGUGGUUUAAUUCGAUGCAACGCGAAGA
rnacentral:rRNA from 1 species